rnacentral:lncRNA from 1 species
AGGCUGAUAGUGGGUGCUGAAUGAGUGGUUUGAACCCCACAGCCAUGGCACUAGCGAGCAGGGUCAUCAGAGCUGCUCCAUUCUUCUGGAAGCUGCAGAGAAAGGGAGCCCGGAAACCUGGUAUGCCGGCAAAAAGGGCUGGAGUGCAAUGACACGAUCUUGGCUGACUGCAACCUCUGCCUCCCGGGUUCAAGCAAUUCUCCUGCCUCAGCCUCCUGAGCAGAUGGGAUUACAGUUUAUAAUCAGGUAUAAGUCUCUUGGGGAAUCUGACCUCAUACCUCAUCUAUGCAGUUCCUGUACAAGGUUCCUGACCUGUGGUUGCUGUCUACCUUUUUCAAAUUUGAAGCAAAGAUUUUCAUUAAAAGAUUUUCACUAGAAUUAAUUAAAAAUCAAAGCCCAAAUCAAAACAGAAUACACAGCAAGCUGUGCUAGUGACAUGGAUGACAACUUCUCCUGGGGAUUACAACUCUCAGGGUGACAUCCGUGUAGAUGAUUCUGUAACUGUUAAAAUGAAAAACUCCCACCCUGUGGGAACAGAGCCGGGUGAGCCCUGGCUUCCACACAGUGCCACCCUGAGAAGGCGAGGUCUCCCCAGCGUCUGUCUGCAGUGCAGCCAGGGCGGAGGAAUGAAGUGUCACAGCAGGAAGCAGAUGGCUGCAUUUGCAGAUAAUCAAUCUAGAGACUUGCAGCCCUGAGUUUCAGGGGAACUUGUCUAAGUAGCAUCCUGUCGCUGGAAGGCAUCUAAUGAACUAAGUUACUGGUGUUCUUGCUUGUCAGAUAGCCCUGGAACACUGUCUGGAUUUUAUAAUCAUUUUCUUGAGAUUGACAAAGUCUAAAUUCUUGCUGAUCAUUGACGAGUCUAAGUUGUAAAGAAUGCUACCCAUGGAUGGAACUUUUUGCUUAAACUUAAGAAAGGGAGGAGAAAUAACAGCAGCGGUGCCCCGUGAAGGUUUCCCAAACAUGGAGGAGUCCUGGUAUAAACCAUGCCUUGGACCCACAGCGGAAGGAGGAGCACAGCACAGCUGGGAUCACGAGGACUCUGAAGUCUCCUGGGACGUGACAGGAGCAGGCUCAGCCACUGUGCACAGCGUGCGUCCUUGAGCAGGUCACCUAAACUGCCUGGGUCUCACAUCCCUGCCAUUCAUGGUGUUGGGGCUUGCCCUGACUUUGUACCAAGAUCAGAGAGGGGCUUAUAGUAGGGAGAACCCAGGCAGCGGGAGGAGGCACUUCCAAGCCCCCAAGGGUAGGCGUGGCCUUCCCGGCCCCCAAGAGUGCAGGGAUGCCAGAGGCUGCAGCGGCAGAUUUGGGCGACUGCGGGUGUGCAGGGUGGGGGCUCCUGCCUGCGCCAUGGAGCUGGAGGCCCCUGUCUGCAGCCCCAGUUCGGGCGGCUUCCGCGAGCGCAGCAGUGCCUAGGAGCAUGCAGGGCUCCUGCCUGCCCCCACCCACCCAAGAGCAAAGGGAGGCUCAGAUCUGCAGCCGCAACAUGGGCGGCUGCAGCCCUGUCCAGGAGGGUGGGGCUCCUACCCGCCUGGAUUAGGAGGUCAGGUCAGCAUCCCCAGUUUGGGCGGCACCCUGGAGUGCCACAGCACCCAGGAGCGCACGGCUCCUGCCUACCCUCAGCCCUCCAAGAGCACACAGAGGCUCGUGUCUACCGCCCCAACUCGGGCGGCUGCAGCCGCGCGGGAGAGAUUGGCGGUGCUGCUGCCUGCUCCUGGCUCCCACCCACUCCGUGGGGCACACAGCCCCAACUGUGACCCCUUGCAGCCUGAGGCAGGGGCUCCUGAUCCUUGCUGGGCUCAGGCCAGCGUCCAGGGCAGGGGCAACAUUACCACGAGCUCCCCCUGUUGCCCCCGUACUCAGGGGUGGCCCAGGGCAGAGUGGAUCGUGGGCCUCAGGCCCCGCCCUCAGGAAUGGCAGGCUUGGUGGUCACCCCGACGCCAGGCGGACUCCAAGGAUACGGUCUGGGCAGCCCCCACGCAGAGCCUCCUCCCGCGACCCAGGAACCCGGCACCCUCUGUGGGGUGGGCACAGUGGGUGCCCAGCUGGCCAGGUCCCCUGAGUAGGUGUCACUAUCCCUUCCUGCCCCGGAUCCCCGAAGUGCGGCCCAGCCCUCAUCAGGCCCCUUUCUGUCGGAGGAGCUACUGCCCCACUGCACGGCUGCCCCGCCGGUGGGUGAACUGGACCCCGCCUAGCUCCAUCCCGGCGGCCCCCAGGGCAGCGGGUGGAGGGAGGGGGCUGUCCACCUCCUCCCUGCACACGCCCCGCAGCAGUCUGCGUGCGGGCAGGGGCCAGGCCGCACCAGAUGGCCCACUGCUGCCAUCACAGGCACUAACAGGAAUCAGCCUUCUGCAUCCAGGCCUUGUGUUAAUGUGUGAAUGACAAAGCAAAAGACCCCAGUGUGUGAGGCAGGAAUUUGGACAUCAGAAGGAGGAAAAACAGGAUGAAGCUUCCGGAAGGAAUAACCAUCCCAGCUGUAUCACCACACACACCUAGAACCCUUUAGUCAGGAGGAGGGAGGACGGAUCCAACGUGGAAUAUGUAGGAUUUUUCCGUUAGCCUGAAUGUACCACCAGAUGGAAGGAGGGUCAAGAACAUAAGUCUGUGCCUUGAGGACUAAACUCUGACCUUUUUUCUCUCCUGCCCAAAUUCCUACCUAAGGGGCCUGGGGAGGUCACCCUACAAACCACAAAGCCUCAUUGGAGGGGUCUUAUUAACCCUGUGUAACUCGGCUCUUUCCAACCUUACUCUGGUGUAACCUCACAUGACAGAUAAGGAAGAAAAUCCAAAUAUUUUAACCCUAAAUAUGUUUCUUGGCCAUAUCUUGAAAUGUCCCUGCAGAGCUGUCUCAUGUGGGGAAAGUCUAUAUUCUGUAGAAAAUCCUGUUCCCUUUCCAGGCCUUUUUCCUCAUCCAGGAAAUACUCCACUAAGUUUCUGGCACCUUUUAAGUCUGAUAAGAAACAUUUACCAUCGAUUCUCUGUAAGUCUUCUACCUGGAGGCUGCAUCAGCGUAAUAAGAACCUUGGUCUCCACAACCCCUUAUCCUACCCAGAUAUUUCCUUUCUAUUGGUUCCAGGUCUUUAGAUAAACUCUUUCAACCAACUGCCAAUCAGAAAAUCUGUGAAUCUGCCUGUGAUCUGGAAGCCUCUGCUUCCUGGUGUGCCACCUUUCCCGUCUGAACUGAUGUACAGCUUAAAUGUAUUGAUUGAUGCCUUAUGCCCUAUAGCAUGUAUAAAACCUAGCUGUGCCCUGAUCACCUGGGUCACACGUUCUCCGGGUCUCCUGAGGACUGUGUCACGGGCUGUGGUCACUCACGUUUGGCUCGAAAUAAAUCUCUCCAAUAUUUUACAGAGUUUGUUCUUUUUGUUGACAAUCUUUUAAAAUGUCUAAUCAGGAGAAAAUCCCACUCAUACAGAGCACCCAAAGGUGUGCUGGCUGCCCACUGACUAUUCCGGUCGACAGAGCCAGGUACAGGGGUCAGAGUCACAGCAGCUCCCGUGGGCCGAUGAGGAGGCAUGGCUGGGGAGGAGGCUCUGUCUCUCCACACCCGAUGGAGGCAGCUCUGCUCCUGAGCUCAGGGUGGACUUCACCUGGAGUUAGGAGUCAGGGGUCUGGGUCCUGCUUCCUCAUUGCUCUGGUACCUGAAAAGAUAAGCAGUCUCCGUGAGAUGGGGCCUGACCCAGCAUGCACAAGCCCGGGAAGGAAAGGAGUGAAAGGACCUGCUUCCCUGGGACCAGAGCAAAGAGCAGAAAGAGAGUAAGUGAUUGAUGUCGCCUGGGUUAGAAGGAGGAAGUAGAGAGGAGCGGGUUAGCGUUAGGGGCUUGCCUGGGCAGUCACAAAGGGCCCCACAGGCAGAUGAGCCUGUAAACCAAAAAUACAUUUCUAAGGCCCCCCAGCUGAUAGAGAAUGGAUGGGCUCCUGACUAAACUCCACCCUCAAGCCUAGAACCUUGGCCUUAAGUGAAAACAGCUGACCUGUUUGCCUUUUUGGCCCUCCCUGUAUCCUAUCCUGUGCUCAUAAAAAGACUUCAGCUGGCAGAGCAAAGAAGCUGCUGAGGUAAGCAGUCAGCGAUGCAAGCUGCUGAGCGGUGGGGAUGCAAGUGGCCGAGUGUCAGAGACUCCCGAUUGACAGCGCUGACUUCAGAUGGUGUCGUUUUCCAUGGGGAACCCGGCCGGGGAGGACGGUGCUUCACGGCAAGAUCACCUUCUUUCCACACCACCCCCUUUCCAGUUCUGCCUUUGUCAUCAUUCAAACAGUCUGUGUGACCUGAUUCUUCCUGGACACUGAACAAGAACUUGGGUGUCAAAAAGGGUGGGUGCAGAAGGCUGUGACCUUGACCCUUUGCUGGGCCAUUAACACUUGGCUGUCCACGGACCGCACGCUGAGUGAAAUGAGCCACUACAGUUCCUUCCCACAAAGGGGGUCAAGGUCAAAGGAAAAAUCCUGUCUCACAAUGCAUUUCUGAAUGCAUUUCCUCCAUGGCCAGGACACUCGUAAAAUUUAACCUAAAAGACUGCUUCAGGCCAUGACAGAAAGUGGAGUAAGACAGGUGUCAUAUACCUCUCCAGCAUCAACAUCAACACAGACCCCCCACCCCCACCUCCAAGCAGCCUCUAGGCAGGUGUCCUUUGUUCUAACUUCUCAGCUCUCUACCAGGGCCAGCUGCAGGAUUUAGGGGCCCAGGGCAAAACACAAAUGCAGGGCUGCCCACACAUUCCUCUCAGUCACACAUCGGGCCCCUCCUGCUGCCUUGUCCUGGUCCCAGUGGGCCACCAGGUAAAAGUGUCACCCUUAAAAAUGUUCAAUUGAUGCAAAUUCACAUUUAAAGUUAGUUUACUCUGUCCCGGCACAAAAGGGUUGUUUCCAAAGUUACACUGAUUAGACAGAAGUGGACCUUUGUCCCAGCUGAGGCCCUCCCAUGGGUACCCACCCCCUGAACGGCGGAUGCAAGACGGCAACAGUGUUGACUGAAUUCAGGCAGUUUCAGGCCACAGCCAACUGGGGAGACAGCAAUGAGUGAUGAACGGUCGGGGUCCUCUAUGCCACGCCAUGAAACCUGAACUAACCGGACAAGUUUAUCCAGAGCUGGACACGACCCUUUGGGGGCCAUGUGGCAUGGUGGUUACCAUUGGCCUAGUGGUCAGGUCCAGCUUCAGCCUGUGGCUUCCCUGGCUACUGGCUGUGGGACCUGGGACCGGACACUGAGGCUGACUAAGGUUUUUACCUCAAACAUGCUUAUGGUUGUGUGUACCAAGAGGGUGAUGUAAACCAGACAGCAAGUGCCUGGUGAGCAGCGAGUGAUUAAUAAAAGGGGGUGUGUGUGUGUGAUCCAUAUACGUACACAUACACUUAUUUUAAUUUAGGAAAAAGUGCUUUCUUUCUCUCUCCUCUCUCUCUCUCUGUCUCUCUCUCUCUCGCUCUCUCUUCUCUCUCUCAUUCUCUUCUUUCCUUCACAGGGUCUCCCUGUGUCAGACAGGCUGGAAUGCAGUGGUGCAAUCAUGGCUCACUGCAGCCUCAACCUCCUGGGCUCAAGAGAUCCUCUGACCUCAGCCUCCCAAGUAGCUUGGACUACAGGCAUGCAACACUAUAUCUGGCUUUAUUAUUAUUAUUACUAUUUUGUAGAAAUAGGUCCUCACUAUGCUGCCUAGGCCAGUCUCCAACUCCUGAGCUAAAGUGAGCCUCACUCCUUGGCCUCCCAAAGUGCUGGAUUGACAGGCAGGAACCACUGUGCCCAGCCCCCACACACAUUUUUUAGUCAUCACUGAUGGAGUUUGGUCCUGGGUGUGUUGCUGGGCCUGAUGAGAACUUCCUCAACAGGUUCCUGAUGCGAAACCCCGCGUUUCUCCCUUGAAAGGGGGCAACCAGCUUCUGGGUUACUCUAAGCUCUGAGACAGACCUCUGCUUUUCUUCCCUUCUGCUAUCACCUUGUUGAAGAGGGCCCUGCUCUGAAGGCUGCCAGAGGCGCCUGGGCCUGCGGAGAUACCUGCUCCCGGCACGUCUCAGAAGCAAAGGCUGUGCACAGCCACUCAGGUCACCUGUGCGGACUCUGUCCCUGGUAGGAGUCCUCCCGUGCGUCCGGGAGCCGGUGCCAUAGCUUGUCUCUGACCGAACGCCCACUGGCAGAGGUGUAGAAAGAGGAGCUCUUAGAGUGUGACUGCAGUCCAGGUCCAGCCAGAGAGAGACUUCAUCCUCCUUAUGACUGUGGGACUCAAGUAUGUCUGUCAUUAGGUGGAGGCUUGAUCGAUAGGCUCAGCCGCCCUGGUGUUCUGACUCUUGUUCCACUCACUGCAUGAAAUGAAGCUGGCGGAAUAUUGCUACAAAAGAAUGAUCGUGGCAGGAGGCGGGGUAGAGCAAUGUCAGGUCACGGUGCGUCUUGCACCGAAAUAUUAAGGCAGUUGUAAUGAUCUUUGUCUCACAGAAAUGAACAGAGUGAUGAAGGAGGCUCAGAGAAAGGCAGCUGAGAAGAGCAACAAGGUAGAAAGGCUGACUUAAAGUAGAGAAAUAAAAAUUCAUCCAGCACCUCCCAAGGUCGGACAUUGGUCAAGAAACGCCCAAAUAGUUCAGGUCGUUUAACUUUGCUCAAAUUCCUCAAGGCAGGUAUCACGACUCCUCCUGCUUUAGAGGUGAGAAUGCCAAGGCUCCCGAGGGCUGAGUAAGGAGCCCUGGUUUGUUUGAGUGCAGGUAACACAACAGGUGUUAAAGCCCAAUCUUCAGGGUCUUAAUCCAACAGAAGUUAACUUUCGCUUAGAAAAAGUUCAGCACCAGAGUUCCUGGUGGAUAAGCGACUUCCCACAAGGUCAUUCCUGGGCCUUCUCUGUGUCUCCCCACCCUGUCCCCCUCUGAGGGUUUCAAGUCCUCGGAAGGUUCUAGAUCCACCCUGCAUGGAGCGCAGGGCCCCACUGCUUGUUUCCAUUGCUGAGCCCAACAGGAAAGGCUGGGAUCGGAGGUCGCCUUGCACCCAGGAUGGAAGGGAAGUGCGUUUGGUGAACACAUAGUGCCCAGGCCACCUACCCAAAGCCGCACAGCUCCAGCAGCAGCCUACAGUCCGACCCGGGCCAAGAAGCGAAGUCCAACCUCAUGCUUUCUCUGACUUGAGUUUUCUGAACCUCAGAGUCCUCUCCUAUAGAAUGGAGAACACGUCUCCUUCACAGGAUUACUAGGAGAAUGAGCAGAGAAAAUGCCUGUGGAGGAGACUUCUGGACACUUAGUUAUGGACAGGGCACCAGGAGAAAGGGUGGUGCUGGAGUCUCUCCUUAGCUCUCAGAGAUCAUCACAAAGAGGGUGCCUCCUGCUUCCGGCCCAUGGCAGAGUGUGUCCGAGAGGCCGCCUCUCACCUCCCUCCCUGGCCUCGCACACGCAGUCGGGACUGGAUUUCUGAUGGCAAUUCAGUGACGCACAAUCGAAAACCAGCAGGGCGGAACAGGAGAUGGGAGCAAACUAAGCUACCGUUUCACUAACUUCACAGAGGAGCCUGACACAGAAAAAUGUAUACAUUGUUUGCCUUAAAGUGAACAAUAGGGAAUAGCUAUCGUAUCUUCAAAGCAGCUUUCCAAGAUCAAAUCCGUCGCAUCCGGAAUGCGUUUCUUUGACCUUGGAACCUCCAGGAGUGGCCAGGCUCCCCCACAGAUCACACGCAGCGUUGCCUAGAAGCCGGUAGCUCUCCCGUAGGACGCUGGGAAGCAGCCAGCUGUUCAUGUGGGAGUGUCGGCGUGCGUUCCUUUGUCAACGUCCUGCAAGAAAGAAAAGGCAAGAACGUCAGCGAUGGCUCCACUGACUGAUUAAGGCAAAGGAAGUCGCCACUGUGAGUGAUCACCCAGGCUACGCUGGACAGAAACAGGCCAUUUGCCAAGUCCCCCAGCAGCUGUCUUUGUUUCCCACUUCGAUUUGCUAAUGGGCAAUGGGGCUGGAGCUCACUCUGCUCCUUCAGGGAGUGGCUUGGCGACCAGGUCAGACUUCAGUGUCUCCAGGAGCCUGUGAACCUGGUGCAAGGCUCUUCAGAGUCAGGGAGGGUGGCACACGGUCUUCAGACACGGAACUGAGGCUGUCAGUGGUGGGGAGUAAGUGAAAAAUCCCACAGGCCCUGCACUGUGUCCAUACGUGUUAUUAAUCUUAGCAAUGUGGCCCAGAGAACGCAAGCUCUUCCAGCCUCUGCCCAGGGGCAGCCCAGGAAGCCGUCAGGGAUGAGUGAUUCCCUUCCCUUCCCAAGAACCUGAGACAGGCGCAAUUACCUCCAUGGCUGAUAACCACUGUUCUAAUCCCAUGCUUGACUUAAAAUCAUCGUAUUUCAGACUUAAGAAGUCUAGACCCAGCUGAUUAAUCAGCCUUUCCCAGGAGCCAUCUGUGGGGUAGGAUCAGAAGAACCCCGGAAAUUUUCUGCCCACUGGGAAGAUUUCAUUUCACUGCUAUCUUUCAGGGAUGUCCUAGAGAGGGGCCGUAGUGCUGCAGCUGUCCACUUUUGGGUGGUGCCUGCAUAUCAUGCAGAACCAUCUGUGAACCAGGCCCUAGCCUUAUGUUCCUCUGUCAACUGAUCACAGGGAACUCCCCAUGAGGCCAACAGUGCAGGCUGGGGGAGAGAAGGCAGGGUGGCAGGAGUGGAGACCAUGAGCAUUUUAGCCACUUCCUCGUGUAACUUACUUGUGCCUUCAGGACCUGCUUGAGCCCGAUCACAUAUAUACCACUUCCAUUUGAUGCUGGAACACUGCUGUGCACAACCCACUUUAUGGCGAUGGGUCAGAAAGCACCCAGUUAAUGAUAGGCAGUUCAGGUCGCAUGGUGACUUGCUGACCCAUAGUCCAAUGUUCAGUUUCCACCAAAGCCCAGUAACAGGCCAAGAGCUGUCUCUCAAAAGGAGAGCAGUUAUCUGCAGAAGAUGGCAGGGCCCUGGCCCAGAGUGACAAACCCAAAUGAGAAGUGUCUUGCCUCCAUAAUCCACACCUUCUCAAAAUGAGUUGUCCAUUUGUAACCCACUAAAUUCUGUGGGGAAUUGUCCCCAUCAACUUUUUAUAAAGCAUUAAUGAUGUCACCGUUAUUCCACCCAAGCUUCACCAUAAAUCUAAUGCUUUUUCUUGCUUUCAUUUUAGCAGAGUUCGUGUUGCUCUGAUAGAGGCUUUUUUCAAACUGAUGUCUUAUCCUUCUUAGUACUUCAAAUUAGAUCCUAUUCAGACGUGUUAUAACAAGUUAGUAUGAAUUUAUUUUUCUGCAAAAAAGUUGAUAUCCAUGCAUUUUUUUUUUUUUUGAGACAGUCUCGCUCUGUCGCCCAGGCUGGAGUGCAGUGGCGCGAUCUCGGCUCACUGCAAGCUCCGCCUCCCGGGUUCAUGCCAUUCUCCUGCCUCAGCCUCCUGAGUAGCUGGGACUACAGGUACCCCGCCACCACGCCUGGCUAAUAAUUUUUUUGUAUUUUUAGUAGACAGGGGUUUCACCGUGUUAGCCAGGAUGGUCUCGAUUUCCUGACCUCGUGAUCUGCCCGCCUCAGCCUCCCAAAGUGCUGGGAUUACAGGCGUGAGCCCCUGCACCCAGACUUCCAUGAACUAUUUUUUUAUAAUAUGUAUUUUCCAUGAAUUUUUUGAAGUCCUCUUGUAUGUCUUCCUACAAAAAAAUAAAAUGUAACUCAGUGCAUUUGCCAACCUACCAAGGAAAAACAUAGAGGCCUAAAAUGUGACCCCCUGCAAUGAUCUGAUCAGGGAAUAGUCAUAUUUAAAAGGUAAAUGUGAAAGUCAACUGAGUUGAAAUUUGAAUGAAAGCUUUUCAAUAUGCUAAUUAUUUUAAUUCCCACGUCUCCUGAAAUCCAGUGUAAAGGUAGUUUGUGCGGACACCAAAAAAAAAUUGUACAACACAGAGGAAUGGAGAAAACGCCAUCCUGCUUUCUGUGGGACCGCUGACAGAGGAGGGGUGCUGGUCUGCCUUCUCUGUGAGCUGUGCCUUGGGUACUGCACCAUCCUGCUUUGCGUGAGGCUGCUGACGGAGGAGGGGUGCUGGUCUGCCUUCUCUGUGAGCUGUGCCUUGGGUACUGCACCAUCCUGCUUUGCGUGAGGCUGCUGACGGAGGAGGAGUGCUGGUCUGCCUUCUCUGUGAGCUGUGCCUUGGGUACUGCACCAUCCUGCUUUUUGUGAGGCUUGUGACGGAGGAGGGGUGCUGGUCUCCCUUUUCUGUGAGCUGAGCUUUGGGUACCAUGCCAUCCUUUGCGUGCAGGGCUGCUGACGGAGGAGGGGUGCUGGUCUGCCUUCUCUGUGAGCUGAGCUUUGGGUACUGCACCAUCCUGCUUUGUAUGAGGCUGCUGACGGAGGAGGGGUGCUGGUUUGCCCUCCCUGUGAGCUGAGCCUUGGGUACUGUGCCUGCAUAGUACAUAUGCCUGAAGCUCACUGCUUCCAAAGAAACCUGAUUCCAACAGGCUUCUGGGUCUCGUUGCAGUUUUUAGAGUGGUAUUUUUGGCCUCCCUUCUGAGGCUGAAAAUGUGCCCGGAGAACAGAUGGGUGAGAUCUUCCUCAUUAGCUGGGAUGGAUUUACAUUGAAAGGCAUUUGUAAAGUUGCUCAUCAUUAGCAAUAUAACAGAAAAGAUCUUGACAAGUAUUCAGAAUUCAGCCUGACAGCCUCAUCUAAUAAAGGCAGGAAAUGAGGGUGGAAGGGAGGGAGGAAGGAAAAUACUUGAAGUGUAGCUAAAUGUAAUCCCUUGUGUAAAGACUAGACAACCCCAUCUUAGAAAAUAGUGUCCAUGACAUCAGAGACCUGUGCUGUGUCUGUCAACCAGCAGCAAGCAGAAGGCAGACAAAGGGAGAUCUCCGAGCCCAGGGCAGGAAAAUAAGAUGCUAGAAACAAAAAGUAAAAUCUAAGCCUCUCAACUGUCUGAGUGGAGCCCCAUCUGUGCCAAAGGGACCCCACAGAAAUCUGAAACACUGAAUUCCUGGCCAUGAUGGGAAGGGGAGUCAGACACACCUCGUUAUGCCUCCCCCGCCACUUUUGAAGUUUAGAAACAACUGACCAAUAUUAACAUGAAAAUAGAGACCAUUAGACUGACAAAACCCACUCUUAGUGGUAAUAAGAUGCCAGAUUCCAACCUGACUGUGGUGUAGUGCUCUGAGCGCUGCCCCUUGUGAGACUUCAUCUAUAUAGCAAGAACCUUGGCUUCUACAACCCCCCCUUUUCUUGCUCAAGCGUUUCAACUGACUUCUUAAAUCUUUAGACAAAGCUUAACUCUUUCAACCACUGCCAAUCAGGAAAACCUUUGAAUCCACCUAUGACCUGUGAGCAUCCACUGCUUCGAGAUAUCCCACCUCUUUAGGCUAAACCAACAUACACCUUCCAUGUAUUGACUUAUGUUAUGUCCUUGCUUGUAACUUCUGCCUCUCUAAAUUUAUAAAACCAAACUGCCACCUGACCACCUUGGGCGCACUUUCUCAGGACCUCUUGAGACUGUAUCCAGGCCACAGUCAUUCAUGCUGGCUAAGAGUAAACCUUUUAAAAUAUUUUACAGAGUUUGGCUUUUUCAUCAGCAUGGCAGAAACACCUUUCCCCUUUCUCUAGACACCCAAUGUAUCAGUGUGGCUGUUGGAAGAUAAACACUUUCAUGAAAAUAAUGAGGCAGUCAUAAGUUCCUCAAACCUGCUGUGUUUUAAUGUCUCUUGACAGAUGCCCUGGAUCUGUUCCUGAAGGAUUACAGCAUGAAGAAAAAUAAUGUGGGUAGCCGGGCUUCAUCUUAGCAACACGAGCACCUCAUUUUGGUUUUCAGUUGGUCUUUUAAUGAACAAAUGUGUUGGAAUGUUUGGGUCUCUGGUUUUUAUGCCGAUUUCUACCAUCCUGCCCUGGGGAUGAGGUGGAGCUGGGAUUAACAAAAAAUUCCUAUUCUCCAGCCAGGCGCAGUGGCUCACGCCUAUAAUCCCAGCACUUUGGGAGGCCAAGGCGGGUGGAUCACCUGAGGUCGGGAGUUUGAGACCAGCCUGGCCAACACGGUGAAACCGAUCCCUACUAAAAAUACAACAAAAAGUUAGCGGGGUGUAGUGGCAGGUGCCUGUAAUUUCAGCUACUUUGGAGCUGAGGCAAGAGAAUCACUUGAACCCGGGAGGGGGAGGUUGCAGUGAGCCGAGACCACGCCAUUGCACUGGUCAAUAAGAACGAAACUCUGUCUCAAAAAAAAAAAAAAUCCUAUUCUCCAUGGGACCCAAAUCCCUUUUUACCUCCACCUCCUGGAUAUGCAGCAAUUAAGUGAUUCACGGAGGUGCAGUGAGGCGAAGGUUCCAUGUAGCCACAGGUUGGAAGAAACAAGUACUGUUGGCAUCAACUUUGUCAGCUUGAAGCAGGCCUUCUAGAACCCAUAAUGCCAGGACAAGCUUUCUAGAUGGCAGAAGAGCCUAGCCUAUUUGGUGUGAAUGAAAGACACUCAGGUGAUACCUUCUAUCUCUUCAAGGUAGGUGCUUAGCUGAAAUAGUGCAAUGAAGAAAGAGCACUGAGCUGGAAGCCAUAAGGCCUGGCCCCAACACUGAUAACCAUGUGCGCUUUAACAAAUCAUUUCUCUCUGAAACUCAGACAUAAGGCCUGGCUCCAACACUAAUAACCAUGCACGCUUGAACAAAUCAUUUCUCUCUGAAACUCAGCUUCCCCAUCUGUGAAGCAGGGAUGGUGCUACUUUUCCAGGUGUGAUAGAUUAGAUUAUUGAUCCCAAUUCUUCCAACCCCUUAGAAAGGGUUGUACAUCCACCCUUGCCAUGUGACUUGCAGAGUCCUCCCCACAACCUCAGAUUCUGUAUCCCCACUAUUGAUAUUAGCCACGGCCGUGGGACUUGCCUUGCUAGUGGGAUGAGGGCAGAAGUAUCCAUGCGCCAGCUCUGGGUCCCUGCAUGCUUUUGCUAACUCUCUUGUGUGUGGGUGGGUCCUUCAAGAAAAUAAGAUGACCCAAGCAGCUGUGCUCCUUCAGCCCCAGAAUAACAUACGUGUGACAGACCAGGAUUCAGCCCACAGCCUGGAGCCAAGACACCAUCCGACCCAGAUGAACCUGCGUGGAUCACCUGAGCCACUAGUGACCCAGAGAUCCUGAGAGUGAAAAACAUGCAUGGUCCUAUACACCACUGAGUUUUGGGAUGACUUGUUACUUAGCACUAUUAUGACAAUUGCUGACUAAUAUACCAGGCUCCUGGAAGAUUUGUUGUGAGGUUCUCAUAAAAUGAUGAAUGUGAAAUUGCAUUGUAAGCUGCUUUUAAAAAAGGUACUUAGCUGGAGUGAAAGCUCUACAAAGGCAGAAAUUGUUUUGCUACUGUAACUAGAUGAGUUCCUGGAAUAAAAUAGUAGCUCAAUAAAUACCAUAUUAAUUGAAUUGGAUGGAUGGAUGGAUAUAUAUAUAUAUAUAUAUAUAUAUUUUAACCUUGGAACUUCUAUCAUAGGCAUUUUUCCUUGGGUUGAAACUACUAAUUUCUCUUAAGUACAGAUACCCCCCGAGAAAGCUAAAAUGCUGUAUUGUUUAUCACAAUACUUUUGGUUCAUGAUAAUUACUGCCAGAUACCUGGAGUAAUUAUAGAAAUUGUAGAGAACAAGAGGUGAGGGGUGGGAGAGCUAAGAAAUGGAUUUUCCAGUUUUGCCCAUGGCUACUUUGUGCAGCACCUCUGACAAAAGCUUUGGGAGUUUUCCAGAAACUAGCAUUCUGCGCCCUCCCCAAGCACUUAUUUCUUCCUUCCCCAGGGUGCCGUGUUUGCAUUUCUGCAGCACAACAUGGAGGGUAAAGGGAUUGCAGAGUGAGUCUCCACUUCCACUCGUCUCUGUUGUUGGAGAGGAUUAAAAGAGCAGGAGAGGGGCUGCCUGUGUCCUGGGAAAUUUUCAGGACAGAAGAAGAGGCUGGCCCUGUGCAGUAGGUGCAGAGCAGGCACCCGGCCUCCAGGGCCACCGAUGACUCCAGGGCCUGGCAGGAGCCAGGAUGUGGCUCCUCGUGGAGGGCUAUGCCAGCCGUGUGUCCGACCCAGAGCACAGAACCAUUGCCCCAGCAGGGCUUUUCAGUGGAACCGAGUGUCCCCACACGAGCUUUGUCUCCGGAUGCACACGAGGAGAUUCUGCAGCACAGUGGAUCCGAUUAAGCCAUUACAGCUUUCCAGAGGGAAAAGAAAAUUUAGGACGUGUAGAAACUAAGUCUUUGCCCACAAUCAAGUUUCCAUUCAAAUUAUGAAAAGGAAGUGAUUGAAUGAGAAUGAGAUGACCUUCCCCUUCCCCCACGGAUCUUCCUCCCUCUGGUUCCCUCUGCUGCUGACACGAGCACUGCACCCAGGCGACGGCCCCGGGCGCCCAGGCUGACUCCCGCACUCGGGCGCUGAGCUCAUGGCCGGUUCUGAAGAACUCUGGUUCUGCUCAUGCCCCACAUCAAAACGGCCAAGUCUUCAGAUUUGGGAUUUCCCAAGCCAAAAGCAUUUUCAUAGAAUUGCAUUUCAAUAUUUACAUUAUCUUUAAAGAAAGUCCAGCUAAAAAUAAAAAAUAAGUAAAAAUGUUAAAAAUAAAACAACCCCAGAGAGAAGUGGGGUCUACCUGAAUGCAAUGCAAGAUGAAGUGGACAUCUGGACGCCCCUCCUCCAGGGCUUCGCAUGCUCCCCGGGGCUCAGGGGCUCGGGUGGGGCAGCUCCUCAUGGCGUGGGGUAGGGAGGGUGACCCCAGGUUCUUAGUCAGGGCAGGUGCAGGCCUGUGAGACACCAGGCGAAGGAGGCAGAGCAGGCCGUCCUGUGUGGAGUGGCUUAUUCUAAUUCAAACUCCCCUGUUUUCUUCCUCUUCCUUUUGGGGGAACUCAUCCCUCUGAGACCUCAGACAGACAUGCACCAGGCUAUGGGUGGGGGUAAUGCAGGGCAGGCAGGGUGGUGCAGGAGAAGCAUUCUGCUCUUUUCUGCAGUAAGGUAAAUAUCGUGGCCGUCAUCUGUUCCACCUCCUUCCUGCUGUCUGGCUUCGUUAGUGCAGAUCAAGAGCAUAGGUCAGUGCCCUGGAGGGUGUUCAGGAUGACCGUAGCAGAGGUCUCCGUGCCACAAAUGGAACCCAGCCUUGCUAACUUCUCCAGGCUCGGUGCCCAGCACCCCCAGGGCACACAGAAACCACUGUGGUGUGAGUGGUGCUGGAGCAGCAGACACAGGCGCGUUGUUGUCGGGAGGUGGGGGAGCCCCCGCCGGCUUGCGUGUUUUCUUCCUUAGCAACUGCCCCUCAGAAGCAAUACAGGACUUACCCUAAUGUCACCUCUGCUGAGUCCACGCCGGGGAAUGGCUGAGAAACAACUUCAUGCCAGAAUCCUGUCAAUCUAAGUCUCUACAAAAUUCUAGGAACCAAGAAAUUAUAAACUGAAAGCUCUUAAUGAGAAGCUCUCUGUGGGCAAUGAUCUGGGCUCUGCAGGGGGCUCCAGCAGCUGCCAGAGGGAAAUAAACGUGGAAAAGAACAACCUGAGGCUGCUCGGCUGAAGGCCGGAGCAUGGGGACUGCCCUAACCCUCACUCACGGUGCAGGGAGCUUCCCAGGAAGUCUCAGCUCACCUGCAGCCUUCGAACCAGGAGAGGCUCCGUGAAAGAGCAGGUGCGUGGACCGGCUGGAGGAGUCAAGAGAACUGAUGCCUUGAAUGAAUCCAGAUGAGCAGCCACCAUUGUCCUAAAACACCCUUGUUCCCUUUGGAAAGGGUGGGCCAGUUCUGUGUAGGUUGGGAAGGUGACUGGGACCCAGGACGCCCCAUGGCAAGCCAGCUUCUGCCCAGGAGGUGCUGGCACCGGGCCGCAAGAUGGGACAUGGCCUGCUGGUGAGGGGUGGUCCCUGAGCUGCCACUGCAGCCUCGACAUGUCUCCACUUGGAGAUAAACAGCAGCUUAGGCCUGGGGGGCAUCUCUGCACCCAAGAGCUCCGGGUGCAUUGUCUCACUGCUGUUUGUCCAGUCUCAAGGGCUUUGAUUUGUUCUGCCCACACCUGUGACCACAGCUGCCCAUGCCAAACUUUCCUGCGGGAUCGUCCUAAUAGAUCCGCGGGAGCUGGUGGCUCCUCUUCCAAAGCCCCAGACUUUCAUGUGGAUCACCUUUCUUCUCUGUCCCCAGGAUGCUCGAGGUCUGGCCUCAACCCUGUCAUCAUUGUCAAUCCCUGCGGCUCCUCCUUCCAGGGAGGCUGGGCAGAAGAGCAACAGGAGCAGGUGCUCAGGGGCAACACAGAAGACAGGAGCAGGUGCUCAGGGACAACAAGUACUCAGGGGACAGAAGGUGCCAGGAGGUAGUAGGUGUUCAGGGGGCAGCAGGUGCUCAGGGAGCAGCAGGUGCUCAAAGGCAGUACAGCAGACAGGAGCAGGUCAUUUCUAAAUAAGUUUAAAAACUGAAACAUGAAUUACUAAGCAUGAGUUUAAAGUUUAUAUCCUUUGACAUCGUGUUUUUACAUAGUAUAGAGAAGCUAAAUGUAUUUGGUUCUAUUAAUAAACAUGAAAAUUGUCCGGGUGCAGUGGCUCACACCUGUAAUCCCAGCACUUUGAGAGGUUGAGGAGGGCAGAUAGCUUGAGCCCAGGAGUUUGAGACCAUCCCAGGCAAUGUAGUGAAACUUUGUCUCUACAAAAAAAUACAAAAAUUAGCCAGGCGUGGUGGCUCCAGUUUUGACUGCAAGGAUGGACCCCUGAAAACGCCCAAGGCUUCAGAGGAUGACCGCUAGAGCCAGCAGUUUCUCUUUCCAUAAUCAAUCAUGUUAUUUGAUAGUUAUGAGAGUUGAUUCAAGAUUGAGAGAUGGAAUAGGCUGUUAUUACUCAGGCUCAUUUCCUAAAGUAAAUCAUAAUUUAUAGAUGUGGGACACAUAGGCUUUGAGAUUCCGAUACAAUUAGUGCAAACAUUUAGAAGAUAAAUUGGCCUCCAUUCCAAGGUAACCAAAUGGAUCCCUUUUUUAAGAAUUGAGAAUACUAUAAAACAAAGAUGCAAAAAUACCCAAAAUUGAUCAAUAAGGAUCACGCAGAGAUUUAUUUUUUGAAGACAAUACUAACAUUUCAAAUGUAGGAAAUACUAUUUUAUGCUUUAAACAGGGACAUUUAGUCUCGAGUUCUAGUUUUAAUGCCCUAACCUGGUUUAUCCAUAAAGUGGAGAGAGGCUAGUGCAUAAAUUCAUGUGGUACAGCCAAUCUUAUUCAUUUUUUCUCAAGGGACAGUUAUAACCAGAAUGAACAAAGCCUGGAAUUCAUUAACAGAGCUUACAGGGAAGGUGAGUGGUUUCGAAGCAUUUUUACUAAUCCUUUGAUAAGUCACCCUGAUGUGAGAGGUGGAUUUAGCGACUUGCUUAUGCCAAGUAGCAUAUGGCAAAAGUAAUGAUAUUUCACUACUGCACGUAUCUGCAAAGGGAGCACUCACUCUGGGGCAAGCCAGGCCUGUGUCAUGAAGACACUCGAGCAGCCCUGUGGAGAGGCCCAGGCGUAAGAAACAGACGCCUCUUACCAACAGUCAGUGAGGAACUGAGGUCUCCUGCCAUGAGCCAUGUGAGUGCGCGAUCUUGGAGGUGGGUUCUCUAGCCCCUGUCAGGCAGUCAGAUGAUGCAGCCCCAGUCACAUGCAAUCAAGUCUAGGUUCUUGAUAUUCUAGUUACUUAAAGAUUGUCAAGCAAGAAGUCAUUUCUUCCCCGGCUAUGCUAUUCAAAGGUUCAUGAAUCUUUUGGAUUUUGUAUAUUUUAGAAAUUCCAGAAUUUAUCAGUAGGAACCAGAAAUAGAAUAUCCAGCAGGAACGGCAUGAUGUAUAAAAAAAUAUAGUCCUUUUUGUACAUUCCCCUCUUCCAUUAUUCUAACUGUAUCUACCUUCAAAUCACACCUAAGAUUUCAGGGAUAGACCCUUUACCUCGAAGAUAAUGAAACCCAUCAGAUUAUAAUUUUUUUUUUGUUAUGGACAAUUCCCUUCCCUAAUAUUUCUCAAACUGAAGGUUGUAAUCUACUUCAAAGAGUCGUCCAAGGAAGGCAUGGUGAUCGACGAGUUUCAAAUAACUAUCAAAUACAUUUAUUUAUCCUAAAAACGUUGACAGUAAUGAUAGAAAUACUCAUUUUUAAAAUUCUUGAAUUCUGAUACAUAGUUCUAUUUUAAAGUCCUGAAAUACCAGUAUUUUUUUAUUGGUAUACUACAAUUAUACCACUAUUUUUGGAAACUAAGGUCUGAAUUAUUAACUUCUUUUUUUUGAGAUGAGGUGUCAUCUGUUGUUGUUCAGGCUGGAGUGCAGUGGUGCAAUCACGGCUCCCUGCAGCCUCAGAUCCCUGGGCUCAAAGAAAUCCUGUGAGCAUGGCACUGUACCCAGCUGAUUUUUUAAUGGUUUGUAGAGACAGGGCUUUGCUUUGUUGCCCAGGCUGGUCUCAAGCUCCUAACAUCAAGCAAUCCUCCUACCUUGGCCUCCCAAACUGCUAGGAUUACAGGUGUGAGUCACCAUGCCCAGCCUUUAUUUAUCUCUUAAAAUGAAAGUCAUUGACUAAACUAUUCAAUUUUGUGCCAAAAAAAAGAUGAACUAAUGUGCAGUCUUCAAAACUGAUAGGAUUAUUCUGGAAAAUUUUGUACAUACACACACAAAAAAAGAAGCAUUGAUGACUUUUGUUAAAAACACCAAAUAAUAUGUCAUUUUAAAUGUUUAUGAACGAUUAAUUUCUUAUUUCAAUAUAAUGCUUAGUUGAUUAUUUGUAAUAAAAGUUUAUUUUUGUUUAUGUGCUAAUCCAUUAGGAUGUGAUAUAGUUUGGAUAUUUGUCCCUACCCACAUCUCAUGCUGAGUUGUAAUCCCCAAUGCCAGAGGUGGGGCCUGGUGGGAGAUGUUUGGGUUCUGGGGGUGGGUCCCUCAUGGCUUGAUGCUGUCUUCUUGAGAGUGAGUUCUCAUGAGAUCUGGUUAUUUAAAAGUGGGUGGCACCUCCCUGCCCACUGUCUCUCACUUGUUCCUGCUCCUGCUCCUGCCAUGUGAUGUGCCUGCUCCCCCUUUGCCUUCCGCCAUGAUUGAAGCUUCCUGAGGCCUCCCAGAAGUAGAAGCCGCCAUGCUUCCUGUAUAGCCUGUAGAACCACAAGCCAAUUAAACUUUUUUUAAAUGAAUUACCCAGUCUCAGCUAUUUCUUUAUAGUAAUGCAAGAAUGGCAUAAUACAGGAUGAUAAUAUGUUGAAGGUUUAUAGAUUCAAAAAAUGUAUUUUAGUUAAUUUGAAAAAUAAUGUAAGAAACACAUGAUAAAUAUUCAAUUACGUUUGUGAAAUACACUAAAUCCCUACCUGCUUAUUUCCUAGCUGGGCUGCUAUAACACAGUGCCACUCACUGGGUGGCUUUUACUGCUCACAGUUCUGGAGACGUGGACAUUUACAAUGAAGACUGAUUAGGGCCAGUUUCCUGAUUCACAGAUGGGGCCUCUCGCUGUGUCCUCACAUGGCAGAGGGACAAACAGGCUCCCUCUCUCUCUUUUAUAUGGGCACUGAUCCCAUACAUGAGAGGUCCACUCUCAGGACCAAAUCACCCCCUUGAGACCCCACCUCUCAACACUAUCACCAUAAGGAUUAGCCUUCAGCAUCUGAAUGUGUGGGGAGGAAGCACAAACAUUUAGAUCACAGCGCCCUGUCCCUGGUUUCCCAAAGUUCACAUCUUCCUCACGUGACAAGUACAUUCAUUCCAUCCCAACAGCCCUACAAGUCUUAACUCGUUCCAGCAUCAACUCAAAAGUGUGAAGUCCAGAGUCUCAUUUAAACAUCGUCUAAAUCAAAUACGUGUGUGAUUUAAGGUAAAAUUCAUUGUGAGACAAACUGCUUUCCAGCUGUGAGCCUGUAAAAUCAAACAUGUUAUGUGUUUCCAAAUUCAAUGGUAGGUGUUAUGGUUUGGACUUGUGUCCCCACCCAAAUCUCAUUCAAUUAUAAUCCCCGGUGUUGGAGGUGAGGCCUGGUGGGAAGUGAUUGGAUCAUGGGCCGGAGUUCUUAAGAAUGGUUUGGUACCAUCUCCCUUGGUACUGCAUAGUGCGUGAGUUCUCAUAAAAUCCAGUUGUUUAAAAGUGUAUAGCACUUGUCCUUCUCUCUCCCUCCUGCUCCAGCCAUGUAAGAUGCCUGCUUCCCCUUUGCUUUUCACCAUGAUUGUAAGUUUCCUGAGGCCUCCCCAGAAGCUGAGCAGAUGCCAGCAUCAUGCUUCCUAUACAACCAAUGGAACUAUGAGC